rnacentral:rRNA from 1 species
GAAAGAGCGUACGGCGGAUGCCUUGGCACCUGCAGCCGAAGAAGGACGCAGCAAUCUGCGAAAAGCCUCGGGGAGUCGAAAGCAGACAAAGAUCCGGGGGUAUCCGAAUGGGGAAACCCGCUGACGGUAAUGCGUCAGCACAUCCUGCAAGGGCAGGAAUGAGGAAACCCGGCGAAUUGAAACAUCUUAGUAGCCGGAGGAAAAGAAAACAACAGUGAUUCCCUCAGUAGCGGCGAGCGAACGGGGAGCAGGCCAAACCAGUCUGAGGACUGGGGUAGUAGGACCGCGUGAUGGAACGAAAGCUGAUAGUCGAACGACUUGGAAAAGUCGACCACAGGGGGUGAAAGUCCCGUAGACGAAAUCGGCCUGAAGCCUAGCGGUAUCCUGAGUACGGCGAGACACGAGGAAUCUUGCCGGAAUCAGCCAGGACCAUCUGGCAAGCCUAAAUACUAGCAGGUGACCGAUAGUGAACCAGUACCGUGAGGGAAAGGUGAAAAGAACCCCGGGAGGGGAGUGAAAUAGAACCUGAAACCGUGUGCCUACAACCGGUCAAAGCACUAUGUUUUAUACAGUGUGAUGACGUGCUUUUUGUAGAACGAUCCAGCGAGUUACGGUAUGCAGCGAGGUUAAGCACUUAAGGUGCGGAGCCGAAGGGAAACCGAGUCUGAAUAGGGCGUAGAGUUGCAUGCUGUAGACCCGAAACCGGGUGACCUAUCCAUGGACAGGGUGAAGCGGAAGUAAAAUUCCGUGGAGGCCCGAACCACGUUGGUGUUGAAAAACCAUGGGAUGAGCUGUGGAUAGCGGAGAAAUUCCAAUCGAACUCGGAGAUAGCUGGUUCUCCUCGAAAUAGCUUUAGGGCUAGCCUCGUAGAGAAGAUACAUGGAGGUAGAGCACUGACUGGAUGCGGGAGCCACAAAGCUUACCAAAUCUUAUCAAACUCCGAAUGCCAUAGAAUCGAUAUACGGGAGUCAGUCCAUGUGAGAUAAGUUACAUGGGCGAGAGGGAAAGACCCCAGAUCGUCCGCUAAGGUCCCCAAGUACAUGUUAAGUGGUUAAGGAUGUGUAUAUGCACAGACAACCAGGAUGUUGGCUUAGAAGCAGCCAUACAUUUAAAGAGUGCGUAAUAGCUCACUGGUCGAGUGGAUAUGCGCCGAAAAUGUCCGGGGCUAAAACAUGACACCGAAGCGGCGGGAUUGAUACGAAGAGUAUCAAUCGGUAGAGGAGCAUAAUAGCGUAGGCUGAAGCAUGAGCGAGAGCACAUGUGGACGAACUAUUAGAGAGAAUGCCGGUAUGAGUAGCGAGAGGCAUGCGAGAAACAUGCCCGUCGAAAGCCCAAGGUUUCCUGGGGAAGGUUCAUCCACCCAGGGUAAGUCGGGUCCUAAGCCGAGGACAGAAGUCGUAGGCGAUGGAUAGCAGGUGGAAAUUCCUGCACUAACAUAUGAGAGAAGCAGUGACACAGAAGGAUAGCUCGAGCGCGGUGAUGGUCAACUGCGUGAAAGCGUCGAGUGGGGUAUGUAGUGAAGUACGCAUACCGCAACCAUGAGACGUGAGAGGACUGAAAUUAAAGUAAGGAAGCGAGCGAUUUCCCGCUGGCGAGAAAAGCUGCUAUUAUAUUGUAUGUUACCCGUACCGCAAACCGACACAGGUGGGCGGGGAGAGAAUCCUGAGACGAACGGGAGAAUCCUUGUUAAGGAACUCGGCAAAAUGACCCCGUAACUUCGGGAGAAGGGGUGCCACAGAAAUGUGGCCGCAGAGAAGAGGCUCAAGCGACUGUUUAACAAAAACACAGGUAUCUGCGAAAGCGAGAGCUGACGUAUAGGUGCUGACACCUGCCCGGUGCUGGAAGGUUAAGGGGAACUGUCAUCGCAAGAGAAGCAGAGAACUGAAGCCCCAGUAAACGGCGGCCGUAACUAUAACGGUCCUAAGGUAGCGAAAUUCCUUGUCGGGUAAGUUCCGACCCGCACGAAUGGUGUAACGAUUUGAGCGCUGUCUCAACAAGGAGCCCGGUGAAAUUGCAAUAUGGGUGAAGAUGCCCAUUACCCGCGACUGGACGGAAAGACCCCGUAGAGCUUUACUGUACCCUGAUAUUGGACUUUGGUAAUAUAUGCACAGGAUAGGUGGGAGACUGAGAAGUACUGGUUUCGGCUGGUAUGGAGUCACCGUUGGGAUACCACUCUUAUAUUACUGAAGUUCUAACAAGAUGCCGUGACCCGGGUCUUGGACAUUGUCAGGCGGACAGUUUGACUGGGGCGGUCGCCUCCGAAAGAGUAACGGAGGCGCCCAAAGGUACCCUCAGAAUGGAUGGAAACCAUUCGCAGAGUGUAAAGGCAGAAGGGUGCCUGACUGCGAGAUUGACAAAUCGAGCAGAGACGAAAGUCGGGCUUAGUGAUCCGGCGGUAUCGAGUGGAAGAGCCGUCGCUUAACGGAUAAAAGCUACCUCGGGGAUAACAGGCUUAUCUCCCCCAAGAGUUCACAUCGACGGGGAGGUUUGGCACCUCGAUGUCGGCUCGUCGCAUCCUGGGGCUGAAGCAGGUCCCAAGGGUUUGGCUGUUCGCCAAUUAAAGCGGCACGCGAGCUGGGUUCAGAACGUCGUGAGACAGUUCGGUCCCUAUCCGUCGUGGGCGAAGGAACCAUGAGAGGAGCUGCUCCUAGUACGAGAGGACCGGAGUGGACGCACCACUGGUGCAACUGUUGUCGUGCCAACGGCAUAGCAGGGAAGCGAAGUGCGGAAAGGAUAAACGCUGAAGGCAUCUAAGCGUGAAGCCCCCCUCAAGAAGAAGGUUCCCAUCUCCAAGAGAGAGUAAGGUACCUGCAAGAGAAGCAGGUGAUAGGUCAUCGAUGUAAGUAUGGUAACAUAUUAAGUUUGAUGAUACUAAUCAACCGAGGGCUUGAUUU